rnacentral:rRNA from 1 species
UACGUAGGGAGCAAGCGUUGUCCGGAAUCAUUGGGCGUAAAGGGCGCGUAGGUGGCCCGGUCAGUUCGUGGUGAAAGCGCGGGGCUCAACCCUGCGUCGGCCAUGAAUACUGCCGCGGCUGGAGCACUGUAGAGGCAGGCGGAAUUCCGGGUGUAGCGGUGGAAUGCGUAGAGAUCCGGAAGAACACCGGUGGCGAAGGCGGCCUGCUGGGCAGUUGCUGACACUGAGGCGCGAAAGCGUGGGGAGCGAACAGG